UUUCCGGUUGAUCCUGCCAGAGGUCACUGCUAUCGGGGUUCGAUUAAGCCAUGCGAGUCGAGAGGGUUCGGCCCUCGGCGUACUGCUCAGUAACACGUGGAUAACCUGCCCUAGGGAAGGGGAUAACCCCGGGAAACUGGGGAUAAUACCCUAUAGGUUACAGAUGCUGGAAUGCUCUGUAACCCAAAGUUCCGGCGCCCUAGGAUGGAUCUGCGGCCGAUUAGGUUGUUGUUGGGGUAAUGGCCCAACAAGCCAGUAAUCGGUACGGGUUGUGGGAGCAAGAGCCCGGAGUUGGAUUCUGAGACACGAAUCCAGGCCCUACGGGGCGCAGCAGGCGCGAAAACUUUACAAUGCGGGCAACCGUGAUAAGGGAACCUCGAGUGCCUGUAAAUGCAGGCUGUUUAGGUGUUUAAAACGCACCUGGAGAAAGGGCCGGGCAAGACCGGUGCCAGCCGCCGCGGUAAUACCGGCGGCUCGAGUGGUGGCCACUUUUAUUGGGCUUAAAGCGUUCGUAGCUGGGUUGUUAAGUCUCUUGGGAAAUCUGGCGGCUUAACCGUCAGGCGUCUAAGGGAUACUGGCAAUCUUGGAACCGGGAGAGGUGAGGGGUACUUCGGGGGUAGGAGUGAAAUCCUGUAAUCCUCGAGGGACCACCUGUGGCGAAGGCGCCUCACCAGAACGGCUUCGACAGUGAGGGACGAAAGCUGGGGGAGCAAACCGGAUUAGAUACCCGGGUAGUCCCAGCCGUAAACUAUGCGCGUUAGGUGUAUCGGUGACCACGAGUUACCGAGGUGCCGAAGGGAAACCGUGAAACGUGCCGCCUGGGAAGUACGGUCGCAAGGCUGAAACUUAAAGGAAUUGGCGGGA
rnacentral:rRNA from 1 species